rnacentral:rRNA from 1 species
GAUGAACGCUGGCGGCGUGCCUAAUACAUGCAAGUCGAGCGAACAGACGAGGAGCUUGCUCAUCUGACGUUAGCGGCGGACGGGUGAGUAACACGUGGAUAACCUACCUAUAAGACUGGGAUAACUUCGGGAAACCGGAGCUAAUACCGGAUAAUAUAUUGAACCGCAUGGUUCAAUAGUGAAAGACGGUUUUGCUGUCACUUAUAGAUGGAUCCGCGCCGCAUUAGCUAGUUGGUAAGGUAACAGCUUACCAAGGCAACGAUGCGUAGCCGACCUGAGAGGGUGAUCGGCCACACUGGAACUGAGACACGGUCCAGACUCCUACGGGAGGCAGCAGUAGGGAAUCUUCCGCAAUGGGCGAAAGCCUGACGGAGCAACGCCGCGUGAGUGAUGAAGGUCUUCGGAUCGUAAAACUCUGUUAUUAGGGAAGAACAAAUGUGUAAGUAACUAUGCACGUCUUGACGGUACCUAAUCAGAAAGCCACGGCUAACUACGUG